rnacentral:lncRNA from 1 species
UAGGAUGCUGCUAGGAACGUUGUGUCCUGUCUGUGAGCUCCUAUGUGCUGAGCAAAUGAACAUAGCAUGUGACUUUUGGAAGAAUGAUUCAGAGACCACUUUGGAAAAAAGAUGUGCUUUUACCAGACACAAAUGAAGAUCACAUGAUUUGUCCAGUGUUUCCUCCAAGCCCUCAAAUUGUAAGAGAACCCAAGUCACUAAACGUCAAAGAUGGAAUGCUGCUGUGUUGCCCAGACUGGAGUGCAGUUGUGUGAUCUCGGCUCACUGCAAACUUCACCUUCUGAGUUCAAGUGAUUCUCCUGCCACAGCCUCCCAAGUAACUGGGACUACAGGUGCCCGCCAUCACACCUGGCUAACUUGUAUUUUUAGUAGAGAUGGUGUUUCGCCAUGUUGGUCAGGCUGGUCUCGAACUCCUGAUCUCAGGUGAUCCACUCGCCUCACAGCCCCUCAAAGUGCUGGGAUUACAGGCAUGAGUCAUCGCACCUGGCCUAAUUUCCAUUUUCUUAGUAACCAAUAUGCAUGAGUCUUAUUUUCUACCUCACACAUGAGUCUCAUUUCUUAACUCAUGAGACAAAUCUUUAUACAUUUUUCUUAAGUUAUAGAGCCCAGAACUGGACAGUUUAUUGGUAAACAUCUGUUCAGCAUUGAGCUUUCAUUUCCAUACAGGAAGGCGAACACCUAAAUUAAGCAGAAACUUACAAACCAGUUUGAGGAGCCAGCACCCAGAAGCUAGGUGCCCCCAUUAUCUUUGAAUCAAAUGUUUGUGGAGGGAAAAAUAGAAUGUUUCAAAGUACUCACGUAUGUGAUUACAUAACAAACAGUUUGGCUACUGUAAAUAAAAUAUUUUGGUCUUUUUCAACAACUUAAAACUUAUUUUAAGAAUAUUUUUUUCUGAGCAAAUGUAGGUUCCACCAAAAAUAAAAUUUUAUAAUAAUCAUCCCCUUUUAACAUAAAAUAUCCCAGUUUUCUAAUAAUUUUUUUUCUGAGACAGGAUCUCACUCUGUUGCCCAGGCUGGAUUGCAGUGGCGUGACCUCAGUUCACUGCAGCCUCGACCUCCCUGGCUCAAGGGAUCUCCCUACCUCAGCCUCCUUAGUAGCUGGUACUACAGGUGUCCACCACCACAUCCGUUUAAUUUUUAUAUUUUUUGUAGAGAUGAGUUUUCACCAUGUUGCCCAGGCUGGUCUCAAACUCCUGGCCUCAUGUGAUCCACCUGCCUCAGCCUCCCAAAGUGCUGGGAUUACAGGCGUGAGCCACUGCAACCAGCUGGUAAUUUAUAGAUAUAUAUCUGAGUUUGUUGUUUUAUACUACCUGUGCCUAUGAUGGACCUUGUUCUUACUUAAGUUUUUG